CCGACCUCCCGUAGUAGAGCUUCAACCUUGGCCCUCUCCGCUGCCACCAACUCCUGUGCUCGCGCCUCAGCUGCCCCAACAGCUCGCUGCACCUCUGCUACGGCUGCUCGCCUCACUUCUGACACUGCCUCCUCUGUGCGGAUAGAUUGAGCCACAAGUUCAGCAGCAUGACGUCUCACAUCUGCAUCAUAAUCAGCCCGAUGCCGAAGAUCUGCAGCGCUCAUACCACUUACUCGGGACACUCCGCUACUACCAUCACGAUCCUCCUUCUGCUGCAGCAUUGUCAGUGCUCGACGAGUCUUCUCCACCAUACUCAAGAUACAUGUUAGCAUCUGAAAGGCAAAAUUCAAUGUGUAAAUACAAUACUGUAUGUUUAAAAAUGUCAAUAAGCACCAUAAUAAAGCAUGAAAAUAUUAGUAAGUAAUAAGGUGCUGUAAUAUUAAAUUUUUUAAGAAGAAUUAAUAAUGUACAGUACAGGUAUAUAAAAAAUCAGUAAAUUUACAAUACGUACUGUACAUUUCAAAUCUUUAAUACCGUAUGUAGAAUGGUGGAGAAAGAAUAGAGAGAAACAUAUGUGAGGUUAAGUGUUUAGAGUGACACAUCUAAUGUUAGAGAUAUGUGGAAUAUAUGACAUACAACAAAGGAAGUAAAGAACUACAACAAUACAGAUGAAGGUAAGAUAUAAGGAAAAAAGUGGACUGAAUAGGAGAUAGAUGAAAUAUGUACUAAAAUUAAGGAAUAUAUCAGGUAAGACUCUGGAGAUGAAUUUUGUAUGAAAGUGGAAGUAUGAAUGGAGGAGGAAGUGUCUCACUGACACAUCAGUGGAGAAAACAAAAUGGAGCAGACCAUCCUUGACACAGUCUCAUGAUUCAAUAUACAUGUAUGUGGUAACUAUACUCACCACGUGGAUGUUCUUCCACUCAUCGUCUGGAGGGGCCGGGGUGCGGUAGUCACGCGGGUGUAGGGGAGGGUCAGGACUCAUGCCCACACUUGGAUAUGGAGGGGAGAAAAUUCCCAGUCUCUUUGUGGGUGGUGGAGACACUCCCCCUCCACUACCUCCUCCACUGUCACCAUUCUCAAAAUACCUGGAAAUAUUCAUUACUAUUCAGUACUAUUGACUGAUGAUGAUAGCAAGAGAAAAGGUCUUAUAUCAUUGACUGAGGAUGAUAACAAGAGAAAAGGUUUUAUAUUACUAACUGAGGAUGAUAACUAAAGAAAAGGUCUUAUAUUAUUGACUGAGUAAGGUGGCAGGAGAAAAGGUUUCAUGCCAUCAUAUGCUUGAUGAACUUGCCUAUUGACAUAGUUACUUAAUUUUACUUCAUUACAAACACUCACCCUUCAUGUCGCCGUUUGCUACUAGUGACCUCAGAGGAGAAGAAAUCAGUAGGUUCUCCUGCAGUUGCUUCCAACAAUGCUGCCUCAUGAACAGCCACAUAUUGUGACACUGGCUGCAAGGGAAAACAAAGUUCCAUAAUGUCUGUAAUAAUGACUUUUAUUGAUAGACUUGAAGAUUAUGGAAACAAUAAAGAGGAAAGAAUAUCUUCAGACUGUCAAUGUACAGAAAUAAAAGAUAAACAGUACAGUACCAUACUGUACAAAACAACAGUAAGACUCUCAAGGUUUGCAAGGAAUUGUCAUUAGGAAAUAUUUAUUAGAUAUGAUCUGCAGGUUAUCAACACAUGACCUGUGACAACCAAGCCACUAAAGAACUGUCUGGCACAGCCCACCUUUUGCCAGUUGACCUUCACAUGUCUAGCAACAGGACACAACAUCCAGAACCACAGUCAAUUCUUCAAUUAUCUUGGAUUUAUUGGUUGAUUUAGGACCAGUGAAGCCCGAUGUUAGGGGUUAAAACCCACGUGAAUUCAUACAAUCUAAAUAUAAUUGACAAUACAAGGAAGCUCAUACUCCUGCCCUUUGAAUUUCUGCUGUGUCAUCUGACAGACAAGAGGCCCUUCUUGCCUUACACUGAAAGUGGUGCUGCCAGCCUCUUCACAUGGAGCAGUCCAGGAGUUUAAGGGUAAUGCCCAUGCUUUAGUGUUUCUUAUAUAAGUACAGUAUUCCAUAUGUUUGGUUAGGGCCACCAUACAGUCAGUUAAAACUGUCAGGUAUAUUUGGAGGAACUUCACCACGGAAAUUAGUCAAAAUUAUCAAGCAAACACUAACAAGUAGACACAUUACAGUCAAUAGCACCAUUCAUCUCUAAAACACAAAAGCUAUUCUGUAUUCCCAAGUUCACCACUCAAUCACUUCUGGUUUAAUGUUGCCUUAUGUUACCUGCCUUUAAAUCACUGCAGGAGGAAUGUAACAUACAGACUAAUGCCAAUACAGUGUAUUAAUAAAACAAACUCUUUAUGCUUAUACUGUACAUAAUUGUGUUGUUAGAGCUUACCCACCCAGUGUAUCAUGGAAGAGCUCAUGUACGUAGGAAUAAAGUACUGUAGUGCACAUUUAACAAAAAACAGUUGAGGGUUUAAUAUGCAUUUCUAAACCUCGUAAUAUGUGAUGAAAACAAUUAGACAUCAAUUAAUUUCCUUUAACUUCACAAACUAACAUUCUAGCUAGAUUGCCCUUCUCCCCUUCCCUGUGACUGACCAUAGCAGCACGGCGAGCGAGACUCUGCAGUUCACGUUGAAGAAGAGGUAGAUGGGAGCGGAGGAAGGGCAGCACAAACGGGCGGAGAGGAAAAUGUGUUACCUCCUGCAGUCCUCCAUGGAACUCCUCCACACUCACACCACCACUCUGUGAUAAAUAAAGACAUUCAGCUUUUAAUAUACGAGUAAUGUAUACAAAUUUAAACUUGCCAUGGUCAUAUUCUUAUUUGAAAACCCUAUAUGAUUACUAUAUUUUACGAAGCACAAUAAAAUGAUUCCCCAAAAUCAGUGGGAAUGAAGUGUGAUCAUGUCAGUGCCCCGAAAUAUAGUACAGUACAGUACAGUAUAAUCACUUAGAGUUCUUGAAUUAAAAAAAAAGACUUUGUGUUAUCUUCUCAUUGAUGGAAACUUAUAAUAUUUACUAUGAGUACAAGUGUAAUACUGUACAAGGUAAUGCAAAAACAGUUGAUUGAUAUUAAUUACAAUACCAUUUGCCUUUUCACCAGCUAGAUAAUUAUAAUGUUUGUGUAAAAAAGGGAAAAGCAAAUAUCUAAUGACAGUUUUACAGGUUAUCAUAAUUAUCUCUUUAAAAUCUCCUCUGAAAACGAAAUUGACAAAUAAAUAAUGAUGAUGGGAUGUUAAAUAAGACUACAGUACUGUAUCUGAUGUAUCCAAGAUUUUUAAAAGCUUUCUGUAACAUUCA
rnacentral:lncRNA from 1 species